rnacentral:ncRNA from 1 species
GGGUACCGCUCUUAGAACCUCUGGCCGCGCUCGGUAUAGGCGCCUGGCUUGAG